rnacentral:rRNA from 1 species
ACCAGACUCCUACGGGAGGCAGCAGUGGGGAAUAUUGCGCAAUGGGCGAAAGCCUGACGCAGCGACGCCGCGUGAGCGAAGAAGUAUUUCGGUAUGUAAAGCUCUAUCAGCAGGGAAGAAAAAAAUGACGGUACCUGAGUAAGAAGCACCGGCUAAAUACGUGCCAGCAGCCGCGGUAAUACGUAUGGUGCAAGCGUUAUCCGGAUUUACUGGGUGUAAAGGGAGCGUAGGCGGCGCGUUAAGUCUGAUGUGAAAACCCGAGGCUCAACCACGGGAGUGCAUUGGAAACUGGCGGGCUGGAGUGCCGGAGAGGUAAGCGGAAUUCCUAGUGUAGCGGUGAAAUGCGUAGAUAUUAGGAGGAACACCAGUGGCGAAGGCGGCUUACUGGACGGCAACUGACGCUGAGGCUCGAAAGCGUGGGGAGCAAACAGGAUUAGAUACCCGUGUAAG